CCUUGGGAUUCUAUGAUUCUGUUUAGAACCAUACUUUACAUUUUAUUAAAAUGUAUACCCAUUACCUCAAGCCUCCAUUACUAGCUGUUAUUGGAGACAAGACUUGAGGCAGACAGCAUGAUCCAAAAGUGUUGAAUCUAUAUGGCUGAAUGUUUCUGUCUCAGGGACUGAUUGUUCACCUCUGGGCUAGGUGCUGUAGAAUGCCUUCAUAUCUGUGCUUUGACCGUCCUCAUCUACAGCAGACUGGCUUCAUCUGCAUUUGCCACAGGUAUCCCCACUGCCCCAUCUUGGUGGUUUUCCAUGUAUUUUUUGUGGGCUUUUUUCUAGUUCAGAGUGUUUAAAACAUCAUGAAAUCACAUGUAUUCUGUGCAGUUUCGUAUAUGGAUGGGCAAAACAAUUAAACUGAAGUGGUGAGAAGGAAUGAGAGCAUUUGGGACAGUACUCCAGUCACAUGUGUAAACAGGACGCCAGUAUAGGUCCUUCACCACUAUGCCACAUCACAGAAUUGCAGGGGUUGGAAGGGACCUCUGGAGAUCAUCAUUUCCAAGUCUAUCUCCUUGUCCAGUUAACCCCUUAAUUAAAAACAAAGCAGCACUUAGAUCAGAAUUACUUCUAAAGGUGGUGAAUGUAUGCAUUGUUUCAGAGCUAAGGAGAUGACUUAGGGAUAGUGAGAGAAGUAAAUCUUAACACUCUUUCAGAGGUAUAUCAGAUCAAGUUGUAUGGACGGCAUGGAUAUUUAUGAACACAAUAACUUCAACGAGAGAUUAGAUACCACUGUGCAAUGCAAAUGGGUGAAAGAUGAAUAACAGUAUGUCAUGUGAAACUGUCCAAUGAAACCACAAAUAUAAAUACUAAACUUUGCCCAGACAAGCACAUCACUGUUGCAAACAAGUUAUUACUUCUCCAAAUACCAUUUACCAGAGUCUAACUGCAGUAAUCAAAUAUUUGGUUUGAACAAGCAUCUUAAAUGUUGCCUCAGCUCAGCUAUUCCAGUAGCUCUAUCUGGAACAAAACCCCCGUAGCUGGGAAUUUUUAGGGAGGGACUUCAUGUAUUUGCACAAAGCAGUGAAGCUCAUGACCUGAUGAGGACUGCUGGUGGGUGAUGACAGUUUAAGUGAUCCCUAUAGUUCUGCUCAGUUGCACUGCUCAGAGUUCACUCCUGGUGGUAUGUGCACUCAUGAUCCUCAGCAGAUCUUCAGACCGUUACAUGAAAGAAACGUUUGGAGAACUGAGCUCAAAAAUUGAACUUGCUUGUCUUCCACUAUGAAACCAGCUUUGCUUAAAACAAAUUGUACAGUAGGAUAAACAUUUUACUGGGAAGGAGCUGGGAUGCAGAAAGAUGAAGGGAAGCUUGCAGCAAGUCUCCACAAAUGGAUGGAUGGGAGAAGGCAGGUGGGAGGCUGUCUCAUGAAAGCAACCAACCACCCAAUUUCAUUUCAAUAAUGUUUGUAAUUUUCUCCCUAUUGGGGUUGCUGGAAGUACAGCUGCCCUAUAUUUGUGACCAUGUGCCCAGCUUUUGGUGAAUAUGACCCUAACAAAUACAACAUGAAACAAAUGAUAUACUUGCUGUUUUAAACUUGUGUAGUCAAUAAAUGAAACAAUAAUCUUUCCUAAUUUAGUGUGCUCAGACUUGCCAUUGUGGCCAUGAGAACUCCUCAGCUGCAGAACACAAAGGCAUGCUGCCCACACAAUACACAGUUCCAGCAGCUGUGCCUUCCAUUGACUCAAGCUGGAAGAAAUGUAGAUCAAAUACCAACAAUAACAGAUCAAUGUUGUAAAUAUUAGCAUGAGAAAGAGUGCACCAAACUCCGAGUGUAUCUUUUUUGUCCGGUUGUAAUAAAGUUUCUCAAGAAUUUUGUACAGGGGGACAAGAGUGUGUGUGCACGUGUAU